GACGAACGCUGGCGGCGUGCUUAACACAUGCAAGUCGAACGGAAAGGCCCUGCUUUUGUGGGGUGCUCGAGUGGCGAACGGGUGAGUAACACGUGAGUAACCUGCCCUUGACUUUGGGAUAACUUCAGGAAACUGGGGCUAAUACCGGAUAGGAGCUCCUGCUGCAUGGUGGGGGUUGGAAAGUUUCGGCGGUUGGGGAUGGACUCGCGGCUUAUCAGCUUGUUUGUGGGGUAGUGGCUUACCAAGGCUUUGACGGGUAGCCGGCCUGAGAGGGUGACCGGCCACAUUGGGCCUGAGAUACGGCCCAGAAUCCUACGGGAGGCAGCAGUGGGGAAUAUUGCACAAUGGGCGGACGCCUGAUGCAGCAACGCCGCGUGCGGGAUGCCGGCCUUCGGGUUGUAAACCGCUUUCGCCUGUGACGAAGCGUGAGUGACGGUAAUGGGUAAAGAAGCACCGGCUAACUACGUG
rnacentral:rRNA from 1 species